AUUGAACGCUGGCGGCAGGCUUAACACAUGCAAGUCGAGCGGGGUGAUGGUGCUUGCACUAUCACCUAGCGGCGGACGGGUGAGUAAUGCUUAGGAAUCUGCCUAUUAGUGGGGGACAACAUUUCGAAAGGAAUGCUAAUACCGCAUACGUCCUACGGGAGAAAGCAGGGGAUCUUCGGACCUUGCGCUAAUAGAUGAGCCUAAGUCGGAUUAGCUAGUUGGUGGGGUAAAGGCCUACCAAGGCGACGAUCUGUAGCGGGUCUGAGAGGAUGAUCCGCCACACUGGGACUGAGACACGGCCCAGACUCCUACGGGAGGCAGCAGUGGGGAAUAUUGGACAAUGGGCGCAAGCCUGAUCCAGCCAUGCCGCGUGUGUGAAGAAGGCCUUAUGGUUGUAAAGCACUUUAAGCGAGGAGGAGGCUACUUUAGAUAAUACCUAGAGAUAGUGGACGUUACUCGCAGAAUAGGCACCGGCUAACUCUGUGCCAGCAGCCGCCGUAAUAC
rnacentral:rRNA from 1 species